AACCCGCAUUGACUCUAAUGCUGAGACUGAGGGAAAACAGGGGCCUGUCAUAGCCCCUCUGGGCAUCCUGGGACAUUCUGCAGGGUCCUGAAUAUGGGAAGAAGGAAAGUGGAAACAAAGCCUGCCCACCUCUCCUCAGCCAGGCAGUCACAGAGGACCUGAAGCCUCCCUGAGGACUGACUCCAUCAGUCCAUUUUCCUUCUUCAAGUUUCCAGGUCCUGCAGUGGCCAGCACACCCUUGAGCCCAGCGGCCAGCAAAACCAAAGGUGGCCUUGGCUACAUCCAUGUUGGUCCCAACUUCUCAGCGCCUCCUGCCUUCCGCUGAGCCCUU